UUGUCAUGGAAAAUGAUGAAUUAGGCAAAAAUUUUAUUUCCAAGCUCUUCAAAGAUAAUCACAAACACAAACUUUCCUUCUAAAAGUGUCCCCAAUUAAAUCAAAGGCACAUCACCCCCAAUAAAAUAUGUGUGACAUGAAUUCUUUUAGGUUAUAAUAUCUUCAUAUUUUGUUUUUAACCAAUUGCAACGUUCUAAGUGUAGAUCACAUUUAAACAUUUUUAAAGGCAUGAGCACACUUUUCAAAGCAUCAGACACAAUUAUAAGUUGUAGAGUACAGGAACUAAAGAAAGUUCUAAUGGCUUCACACGGGAGGGCCACCUAACAACACAUCCAUGCUCCGUGUGCUAAGGAGCGGCUCCCCAGCUUCCCGUCCAGGUCAGACCGUUUGCUCACUGGGACUGGAAAGGCCUCCUUUACGAAACCAGCAUAUCAAUCAUUCCCCAAUUUAUACUUUGUCUAAUUUAGUAACUGUAAAUUUUUAUGAAAAUUUUUUAUUACAGUAUAAAAAUGUUAGGAAAAUUACAAAUACUCAGUUUUCGGAAAUACAACAUUUCCAUCCAGAAAUGCAAAUACCCAGUAAACAAAACAUGCCUCCAUCCCAGGCAGGGCCGCACAGGCUUGACUGAGAGAUGCACCCAGUGAGUUUGGUAAUGAGGUUAAAAAAUAAGACAAAACAUUGAUUUCUGUAGAAUUUUGACCUAGGACCAGGCCACAGAGAAAAUGAUUUGGCUCUUGAAAUCUGUUUUCUUGGGACUUGGCGGUAGUCAUCCAUCACCAUGCACACACAGGUUCCUCAGAGAGCUUCUUCCCUUCUUCAAAGUAAAGCACAGGACCUGGGCUCCCGGAAGGGGUUGCUUCCAGCCGGAACACCAAGCAGCAGGGCGUCCUUGCAUGCAUUCUGUAUGCAGUACUGCUGAAGCUCUGCAGCUGCCUGAGAGACCUGAGACAAAGCAAGCACAGUCUUCAGCUGCUCUACCAGGCGCUGCAGGGCGCUCACGCUGGCCCCGGAAGACAUGGCG
rnacentral:lncRNA from 1 species